rnacentral:lncRNA from 1 species
CCAACCAGCCGGUGCCAUGCAGAACUAGCCGCCGGAGACCGCUGCAAGCCAUGUAGUUACCAUGACUGCCGUCAUCUUCAGGCCACACACACGAUCAUCGAUCUUCCAACCACGGUCUUGCAUUGGCAGAAGUCAGAAGAGGAGCCCACCACACCUCACCGAAGAAGCCACCGCCGUGCAGAACCCCUCGCUGAAGUAUCGUUGUUGCAUUUUACACGCCAAAAUGACCGAAGCACUGCACCGGAUCCUGAACCUUUGAGGCAACGCAGGACGCAUGGGGGCUCGCCACAUCCACUGCCGCACAACACUCCUCGGACUCUCCUCGGACACACCACUCCUCAAGCACACCACCUUAAAGCGCACGGGGCCUCCCCUCUCCCGCCGCUGGACUCUUCAAAGAUCCGGGUUUUCUUCGCCAUCAAGGGUGACUUGGUACCACUGAGCCGCACCAGAAGCUUCACCUUUGCCUUACUGUCACCGAGAUCACAGCUGCACCACACAUGCAGACCCAAAUCUUCCGGAAAGCAUGGGCCCUCCGCUCCUCCUCGCUGACACAGUCCCUUCCUGCACCUCCUCACUCGCAGCCACGACGCCUCGAUCACCACCACCACGCGUGCGAUCACUCCAGCACACUCUGUCGCCGUCUCCGCCACGCCUGCGCUGCAAAAAUGGCCUCGCGCUACCAACCACACCUCCAUGGCAUCAUUGGCACGCCACUGGGCAGGCCAGCGCCAACCAUACCACCAUGGUGUCGCUGACGAGACCCGCGCGAACCAUUCUUGGCUGCGCUACCAUAUCGCCUCCAAGCCGCGAAGAGCUGCAUCCUCGACGUGCUGCCGCCGACACCCAUUCCGCACACCACCGCGCCGCUCAAAGGUUCGCCGCCUGCGCACCUGUGCACCACCACGCCGCUCCCAGGUGCGUUCCUCCCGGCCGCCGCACACGUGCCUUCGUGGCCCACACCGGCCGCCAUUACUGAGGUCAGCUUGCUCGUCAUCUUCUCCCAUGCCCGUAGCUUCACCCCCUUUGCCUUGGCCUCUGGCUUCCUUCCUCCACCUCUUGGGCCCGUUGAUCCCCCCGCCAGGCGGCGAGGCCUCCGCGCCACGCACCCCAUGAAGCUACUGCCAGAGCCCGACGACGAAGACGUGCCGAACAACCGCCGCCCGGAGCAGCCACCACCACUGCCCCCCCCCCCCCCGUGGGUGAAGCCACCGCCGCCGCGCCUGGCGGUGGCCCAGGAUCCGGCCUCGGGGGCCCCGGGAUACAACCUCGCCAGCAUGGCCGCGUGCCGCCCGCCCCGCGUGGGGGAAGCGGCCACCGCCGCCGUGCCCGGUAUCAGAUCUGGCACCAGGAACCCCGGAUCCGGCCGCGGGAGCUCCGGAUCCGGCCUCGCCGGCACGGCCGCGUGCCGCCCGACAGCGAUUCCAUCCGACAUCCCUGGCGGCCGCGCCCACGAGGAGAUAGAAGGGGAGAAGAAGGACGCCCCGCCGCCGCCGUCCUCAUGAGCCGCGCGGGCUUUCGGUGGCCGGCUCGGGCGGUGGCGCGGCGGUGAAGAGAGGGAGGAAGGGGCGGCAGCGGCGAGGUUGUCCGCCCGUGUCGCUCACGCAGGAGCGACGCGGGGGCACCCAAACUUAAGUCAUACUGUUUUGAAGAACUCAGUAGUUACAGUCAAGUGUUAGUUCUUUUCGGCUUAGGUGAUGAAGUCUAUGGGUAGAAGCUUUGUUUUUCACCUUUGUUCUAUAGAACAAGUGGACGGGUUUGAUAUAUUGGAUUAGUAAAUUGCAUUUGCUUCCACAUUCGACAGCGAUGGCCAUAGUACCACAGACCUUGACCUUGUGUCCGGGCAAGAGAUAAGGCAGAAUUCAAUACUGUUAGGUGUAAUGUGCCAUCGUUACAGUUGCAUGGGCCACGAACGAUAGGGUUCCACGGUGACCUCUUCUACUAGCUCUCCAGUCUAUUAUUGCCUUCGACCCUGGGGCAUGGAGAUUAGGCAGAAUUCAAUAUCCUUGUUAGGUGUAAUGUGCCAUCGUUACAGUUGCAUGUCACUGGCUUGAUAGAAAGCAUUCGCUAGAGGAUGCUAGAUGGCCCAUUCCCCGCGCUAGAGGGCGGAGACCUUGACCCGCUCGGCCGCAGACGCCAACCACAGAUGUCCUGCUCAACAAUGACAUAUCUACAGCGAAUAUUGUCCAUUCAAUGGUUGGAAGGAUACUCUCUUCUUAUACAAGGUUAGGUCAUUGGAUGAGGGCACUGAAAUUCCAAGCUUUGCUGAGAUCCAACGCUGUUGCAAGGGGGAAGUAUUGGUGAAUCUAUAUACAAACUUUGCUGCACGAUUUCAUUUUGUCGCUGCUCAAGUGAUGUCAAUAAGAGGAGAAACAGGGAUGAUGGUUCAGUAGGAAGUGAUAUUUGGGUUUUCAACUGGCUCCUCUGUUUCUGCGUUGUUUAAUUUGGUAAGCUCAAAUUGAAUGUCUGGUCCAUAAAGGGUUCAGAUGUUUUCUUUCCUCUCUCUAUCUUCCUAAGUCACGCUUCAUAUACGUGUCUUGAUCAUGCACUUAUUUCUUCUCAUUUCGUUGAUCAUGCACUUGUUUUCUGCCAGAGAAUUCAUUUUCUAGCUAGUGUCUCCACUUAUCUGUUGGUUUCGGUGAUUGUGUGGUUGUCACACAUUUAUCUGUUCUAUACAUUGUCCACUUUUUUCUGCCAGAGAAUUCAUUUUCUCGAUGCUCAAGUGACGCCGAUAAGAGGAGGAACAGAGAGGAUGCUUCAGUAGGAACUCCUUGCGUUUUCAUCCUCCUCCUCUGUCUCUGCAUCAUAUCCUUUCAGUUUGGUAAGCUCGAUUUCAACAGUUAGUCCAUAACGAUUCAGAUUUCAUAAUCUUUCUCCUCCUAGUUCAUGCCUGAUUUGCAUGUGUUGAUUAUGCGCCACUUCAUUUUUCUUUCUGUCGGAGAGAUGAUUGAAGAGUGAAGUGAUCCCGUGCGGAACCCUGUGGAUACACCUUCCGCCUGCUGAUUAGUAGGAGCAAAAGUGUAGUUACUCCUUCAGCUGCACAAUUCAUGUGACACAAGGAAGAUGAAGCUUUUAGCCAGGAAGUGAUGGCUCUCCAGUUUCCAGCUACCCCUCUGCUGAUUUGCGUCCUUUAGCUCUGGUUUUCUCUGCUUCUGCUCAGGGUAUGUUUUUUGCUCUGCUCUGGUUUGCUCUUAUCAUGGUUUGCAUCAUCAUUACGAUAAGUCUGCUCAUGGUGAAUCAAACAAUCAUACUAGAGGUUUCCUUUGUAUGAUACCAACUAUUGUCCCAAUUGAUUACAUCAUUUUAAAGCACAAAAUAAAAGGACAGAAUGCUAAUUCUUUAUACCUCAUACCUCACUGUACUACUUUUUUUAAAGGAACCGGGCAGGAGAGCUGCCGAUUAUAUUAAAAAAAGAAUACACCCAGAUUGGACACAAUAACAAACAACCGAACACCAACACCGGCCAGUUAUAUUGGGACAUCAACACAGCCACAGAACUCAGCUCAACUCCACCCGACUCACCAAACCGCACCACCACAACCAAGUGACACUCAUCGCAAGCGCCGUCAUUCCUGACGAUGUCCCACGCCAACCAGCCGUUACCAUGUAGAACUGGCCGCCGCAGACCGCUGCAAGCCAUGUAGUUACAACGACUGUUCCAUCAUACCAUCAUCAUCUUCAGUCCACACACACGAUCAUCGAUCUCCCAACCACGGCCUUGCAUUGGCAGAAGUCAGAAGAGGAGCACACCACACCUCACCGAAGAAGCCACCGCCAUGCAGGAUCCCUCGCCAAAGUAUCGUUGUUGCACCUUACACGCUAAAACGACCGAAGCAC